GCGGAAUGCUUUACACAUGCAAGUCGAACGGCAGCACGGGUGCUUGCACCUGGUGGCGAGUGGCGAACGGGUGAGUAAUAUAUCGGAACGUACCUAGUAAUGGGGGAUAACUAGUCGAAAGAUUAGCUAAUACCGCAUACGCCCUGAGGGGGAAAGCGGGGGAUCGUAAGACCUCGCGUUAUUAGAGCGGCCGAUAUCUGAUUAGCUAGUUGGUGGGGUAAAGGCCCACCAAGGCGACGAUCAGUAGCUGGUCUGAGAGGACGACCAGCCACACUGGAACUGAGACACGGUCCAGACUCCUACGGGAGGCAGCAGUGGGGAAUUUUGGACAAUGGGCGCAAGCCUGAUCCAGCCAUUCCGCGUGAGUGAAGAAGGCCUUCGGGUUGUAAAGCUCUUUCGCAAGGGAAGAAACGAUACGAGCGAAUAACUCGUGUUAAUGACGGUACCUUGAUAAGAAGCACCGGCUAACUACGUGCCAGCAGCCGCGGUAAUACGUAGGGUGCGAGCGUUAAUCGGAAUUACUGGGCGUAAAGCGUGCGCAGGCGGUUUUGUAAGUCAGAUGUGAAAUCCCCGGGCUCAACCUGGGAACUGCGUUUGAAACUACAAGGCUAGAGUAUAGGAGAGGGGGGUAGAAUUCCACGUGUAGCAGUGAAAUGCGUAGAGAUGUGGAGGAAUACCAAUGGCGAAGGCAGCCCCCUGGCCUAAUACUGACGCUCAUGCACGAAAGCGUGGGAGCAAACAGGAUUAGAUACCCUGGUAGUCCACGCCCUAAACGAUGUCUACUAGUUGUUGGUGGAGUAAAAUCCAUUAGUAACGCAGCUAACGCGUGAAGUAGACCGCCUGGGGAGUACGGUCGCAAGAUUAAAACUCAAAGGAAUUGACGG
rnacentral:rRNA from 1 species